rnacentral:rRNA from 1 species
CCUACGGGAGGCAGCAGUGGGGAAUAUUGCACAAUGGGCGCAAGCCUGAUGCAGCGACGCCGCGUGAGGGAUGACGGCCUUCGGGUUGUAAACCUCUUUCAGCAGGGAAGAAGCGGAAGUGACGGUACCUGCAGAAGAAGCGCCGGCUAACUACGUGCCAGCAGCCGCGGUAAUACGUAGGGCGCAAGCGUUGUCCGGAAUUAUUGGGCGUAAAGAGCUCGUAGGCGGCUUGUCGCGUCUGCUGUGAAAGCCCGGGGCUUAACUCCGGGUGUGCAGUGGGUACGGGCAGGCUAGAGUGCAGUAGGGGUAACUGGAAUUCCUGGUGUAGCGGUGAAAUGCGCAGAUAUCAGGAGGAACACCGAUGGCGAAGGCAGGUUACUGGGCUGUUACUGACGCUGAGGAGCGAAAGCAUGGGGAGCGAACAGGAUUAGAUACCCCAGUAGUC